GGCAGCCCCUAUGGCUGGCCGCGAGCGCGCUCAACACCGCGGUGAGCAUAUACUGGGACACGGAGCGCGACUGGGGCGUGCCCUGGCUCGGCGCAGGGCGCCUCCUGCCGUCGCCGGGCGCGAAACGGCGCCGCCUGUACGGCCCGCCGCGCCUGUACGCCGCCGCGGU
rnacentral:rRNA from 1 species